rnacentral:lncRNA from 1 species
AGUCUCUAGCACGAUUUCAGGGGCUCGACAUCAGUAACAAAGGACAGCCGAACAUAGUCAAGUCUGAAGGCUCGUCGAUAUGUGCAAGUGAAAGUAGCUCCACAUUCUGACGCCCCCCAAAACUGGCUGCUGACUUAGCUGACUUGUUUGUUGCGAUCAUUGUUUAUAGACUGACCUCCAGUCGAUUAGCAAAAGAUAAUCUUUUCCACUUUUCUUAGUUUCAAAUUCAGAUUCAUUUGAUUGGGGUGCUGGAGAAUGUAUUCCAGAUAUUGUUUUUGUUCUCUACCAGAAGACUGAACGAAAAACAAAAGGUAGGGUGGGGAGAGCUCCAAGUCUCAGAGAUUGGAGUAUUGUAGCAGUUGUAAUUUGGGUUUAUUU